UCAACAUGAUAAGACGGUGCCACGCUUGCAAUCCAGAUCUACAUGAGCUUCUGUUACAAAGGUUUGCAAGCAUGAUUUUAAAUCAACAUUACUCUCAUCCUUCCUUCCCUUUCUCACCUUCUGUUUGUAAAUGCCACCCACUCAUUGCUUCUUAUCUCAAAAACUAAACUCUGGGCUCUUCAGAAGAGGAACACUUUCUAUGAGUUUGUGCACUGCUUAGCACAACAGGGCUCUAAUUCAAUAUGGAGCCUUUAGGCACAGCUGUAAUACAAGUAAUCAUAAUAGUCCAUAAACCCAAUGUUUUUAAACAGGAGAAUUAGCCAUUCACUAAGUUCAUUCUUCAUUCAUGCUUCUCUGGAUUGAAAGAAAGUCUGGCUUGCUUUGAGAGAUUUUUUAAGUUGUAUUUGAACAAAAUUAUUUAAGUCUCAAGUUGCUUCUACAGAUUGUUUCGGAAGAAGGGCGAAGGGAGAGAAAGUUCCUGCCUGAAGAUUUAUUUUUAAAAAUGGGAGCGGGGGAAGAGGACUAGGGCAAGAAAGAUUGAGCCUCUUUCCUUAUUAUCUUCAGAUCCACUUUGAAACCCUGCACUUACUACAGUACAGUUAAAAAUUGUACAUAGUACAAUAAUGAAACAAUCACACAUAUCUAAGUUGAAGCCAGGCAAAUUCAAACAGGAAAUAAGUAGUAAAUUUUUAACAGUGAGAAUAAUUAACCAUUGGAACAAUUUACCAAGGGUCAUGGUGGAUUCCCCAUAACUGACAAUUGUUAUAUGAAGAUAGGAUGUUUUUUCUAAAAGAUACACUUUGGAAGUAUUUUAGGGAAGUUCUAUGGCCUGUGUUUUUUACAGCAGGUCAGACUAAAUUAUCACAAUGGUCCUUUCUGGCCAUGAGAUCUAUGAAUCUAAGGUAAAGCAAGAAGUUUUAACAGAAAAUGAGCGCUUCCACUUCUGAGGUAGAAUGGUGGAUCAAUGGUGGAUGUUUUUUAAUUCAGCUAUUGCCUCCCUGGAAAACUGCAUUCUAGGAAGAUACAAAUACUUCCUGGAAUAUUGUUAGAUCUCUCAACACACACUUCUCCAGUCAUAUGCUACAAACAACAUAGUAAAGAGGUUCCCCCCAAAAUUCCACCCUUCAGUCUGAGACUCCUGCUCUGUUACAGGGGAAAUCUGCUCACAAAGAAGAUGGAUGAAGAACUACUCCAUUUCCCCCCAUAACUAUAACCAAGCAGUGAGACACACUGGGCACUUUGCUCCUGAAAAAAGAUAUCCUGAGCACAGCACAACAUUAAGGGAUAAGAGUGAAGAAUUUCUGUGGAAACACUUCAAAAAUAUCUGAAGAAUAGCUCUGUGUAGCUUAAAAGCUAUCCUUUUCACCAACAGAAGUGGGUCCAAUAAAAGAUAUUACCUCA